rnacentral:rRNA from 1 species
CGGGUCGCAGCAGCAGUGAGGAAUAUUGCACAAUGGGGGGAACCCUGAUGCAGCAACGCCGCGUGGAGGAUGACGCAUUUCGGUGUGUAAACUCCUUUUAUAUGUCAAGAAAAUGACGGUAGCAUAUGAAUAAGCACCGGCUAACUCCGUGCCAGCAGCCGCGGUAAUACGGAGGGUGCAAGCGUUACUCGGAAUCACUGGGCGUAAAGGACGCGUAGGCGGGUUGGAAAGUCAGGUGUGAAAUCCUACAGCUUAACUGUAGAACUGCACUUGAAACUUCUAAUCUAGAGUAUGGGAGGGGGAGAUGGAAUUAGUGGUGUAGGGGUAAAAUCCGUAGAUAUCACUAGGAAUACCUAAAGCGAAGGCGAUCUCCUGGAACAUUACUGACGCUAAGGCAUGAAAGCGUGGGGAGCAAACAGGAUUAGAUACCCGGGUAGUC